GACAGAGGUGCCGAGCGUUAGGCGGAAUCACUGGGCUUAAAGCGUGUGUAGGCGGAUGGUAAGUACUUUGUGAAAUCCCACGGCUCAACCGUGGAAUUGCUUGGUAUACUGCCGUUCUUGAGUCAUUUAGGGCAGACGGAACAAGUGGUGGAGCGGAUGAAAUGCGUAGAUAUCACUUGGAACGCCGACGUUGAAAACAGUCUGCUGGAGUCCGCUGACGCUGAGACACGAAAGCCAGGGAGCGAACGGG
rnacentral:rRNA from 1 species